rnacentral:rRNA from 1 species
GAGUUUGAUCGUGGCUCAGGAUGAACGCUGGCGGCGUGCUUAACACAUGCAAGUCGAGCGAAGCACUUUACUUUGAAUUCUUCGGAAUGAAGAGUGAUUUGACUGAGCGGCGGACGGGUGAGUAACGCGUGGGCAACCUGCCUCAUACAGGGGGAUAACAGUUAGAAAUGACUGCUAAUACCGCAUAAGACCACAGUACCGCAUGGUAUGGUGGUAAAACUCCGGUGGUAUGAGAUGGGCCCCGCGUCUGAUUAGUUAGUUGGCGGGUAACGGCCCACCAAGACGACGAUCAGUAGCCGACCUGAGAGGGUGACCGGCCACAUUGGGACUGAGACACGGCCCAAACUCCUACGGGA